AAGAACUGGGACCAAUAUGUUAAACUCAAAACAAACAAAACAAAUUCAUUUUUAAACGUGUUAUCAUCACUUUAAAAGUAAUCCAAUAUUGAUGGGAAGCAUAGUAUAUUUUAGACAGUUUACAAGAAAAAAAAAACUUAAAAUGUAUUUUUUCUGAAAAUCAUGUGCGAUUUACUGUUUUUUAUCUACAUGACAUACAAGCAUGUAGAUGUUUUAGUGUUUCUGAGGUUCCUUGAAUGCAUCCUCGCCCUGACUACCAAUGGGACUCACCUGUGGCCUGAAACUGAGUUUCAGGAAACUGGGUUUCCCUCUUUUUUCCAUGGUUUAUGUCAGCUACAGGAAAAAUAUGGAGUUUCUACAGGUUCUGGUGGAUUCCAUCUUCAUCCUUUCCUCCACAUUCACCCUCCUUAUCAUCUUCAAGUCCAGCUUCAGGCUUAAACACAUGCAGAACAAGUGUUUAGAGGUUGAGCAGGGCGUACAUCCGUGCAAGUGUCCCCCGCCUCUGCAGGUAUUUGUCCCAACAGCAGCUGCCAGUGGAACCGAACCGCAGACCUUAAGGAGAAUCAAAAAGCUGCACAGCUCCUGCUUUAAGGCUCCUCUCUGCUGCAGAUCAAACGCGUACAAAGAGGUCACGGGGUUUGAAGGAGCUUCUUAACCUUAAAGGAGCUCACUAGGUGUGUGACCCCUCCCCACUAGACUGACACAUUUAAAGCGGAGAAAGUUCUGACUAACUGGACCUGCUUCAGACGCUUUGGUAGCCACAAAAAACAUACACUGAACAAAAAUAUAAACGCAACACUUUUGUUAUUGCUCCCAUUUUUUAUGGUAUGAACUCAAAGAUGUGAAACAUUUUCCACAUACACAAAAUAACCAGUUCUCUGAAAUAUUGUUCACAAAUCUGUCUAAAUCUGUGAUAGUGAGCACUUCUCCUUUGCCAAGACAAUCCAUCCCACCUCACAGGUGUGCCAUAUCAAGAUGCUGAUUAGACAGCAUGAUUAUUGCACAGGUGUGCCUAAAGGCCUGUUCACACCGGGACGAAUUUCGCCCGCGAUUUUCGCCGACGUUUAACGCCUCGUGACUAAACAAAGGGCACCAAUGUGAGUGUGCACACCGACGCGAAAAAACGCCACGCGUCAAAGCGUCACUUUUUAAAAAACGCCUCGGGUUUGUUUUUUUGGUUUUACGCACCGCGUCGAAAUCUAUUCGACUAAUGAGAAUGGCGCUUUUGCACACGUGUCUGGAGCUUCUGAAGUUACAGUAAAACACUACUUGGGGGCGCUCAAACACAAAACUGCCUUGCUGAGCACACAUACAAGCGCAGAAGAUAGACGCCAAGUAGCGUCUACACUGCCGCGAAGAAAUAAUGACGGACAUUCUAAAAUAGUUAGAGCAGUUAGUUGGAGCAACUGGUCCUUGAAAUAUUCAUGUUUUCUUUGUAUGAUUCUGACAAGCGCGUAGAUACUUGCUCUCUUCUUCUGAAUGAAAAGCGACUUUAAGAAGCGUAAAGUUGCGCAGCGCCACCUUGUGUACAGGAGUAUUUCUGUUUUAAAUUAAGCGCCAUCUAAUGUCAGGGAAUGAAAUUGCAUGUUCGCUCGGCUCAUCGUCAGCGAAAAUCGCCUGGGUGCGAACACAAAAAACGUGGCGAAUAACGCCUGGCGAAUAUUCGUACCUUUAGACUGGGCACAAGAAGAGGCCACUCUGAAAUCUUCAGUUUUGUUUUAUUGAGGGGGUCAGGGGACCCAGACAACGAGUCAGUAUCUGGUGUGACUACCAUUUGCCUCAUGAAG
rnacentral:lncRNA from 1 species